AUUUUUGAUGAGCUUUGUUAUGUAGGUGAGUUGCCUCCAUGGAAACUUCCAUAGAACAAUUCCUUGUCAACAUGUACAGGCCUUCGGAUGGACUGCACCACACAGUAAAACAUGACUGCAUCUGUCCCGAAAGGGCCUGAAGGCAACAUUCAAAACAGCCCCUUCAAACUGAACUGAUUACAGAGGAAGUUAUUAGAUGAGAACAAAGUAAAAACGGUAGAAAAGGUAGCUACAAAAGAGCACAUGUGAGGGUUCAAUAUGCACAGUGGAGAAGAGAGAGCUUCUGCAGUAGCAGGCCAAGCAGGUCUGCUGGCAUUUUCCUCUACAGAUGGCUUGCCUAUGGAGUCAAUAGAGCAGCAGGAGCCUGAAGAGUGUGAGUGUAAGAUAAGAGGGCAUACUUCAGUGAGGAGCAGAGCUCUGGGAAAAGGGAAAGAAGUAUGGACAAGGAGUCUCUGCUGUGAGGAACACUGCUGCAGUCUGCCGAGGAUCUGUCAAUUGCUCCAGCCUGCAAUACCACACACUGCUGACUGACAGAACUGCUCCAGAGCUGCAAACCAGGAGCAGGGUGCUCAUUAAGAGGUGGUCAUCACACACUUGUCAUCAGUCUCUGCAGGGAUUUUUUCUCAAAUACACUGAUAAUAGGUUGACUGGACCAUACUGUUCAGUGUAGUUCUGGCUUGCAUUUGUGAAUUAUUCUGUCCAGUAUCUCUGUAUUGGAGAGAAACACUUGUGAAGCAUUCCUCCAUUUUUCCUUUGUUUACUGAGGGAAGAAGAAUGCUUUAUUAUUGUAUUUUCCAUCUGGAUUUUUCCCAAUUUGUGUACCAGUCCUUAAGUGAACAUCUCCCUCUUAUAAUAAAUUCUGAAUGAUAUCUGUGAAAUACUGAACU
rnacentral:lncRNA from 1 species